rfam:Tropicibacter multivorans strain CECT 7557 genome assembly, contig: 0020
AGGGACCUUCGGGGCCCUAUCAAAUCGGUCACCUGAACCGACUACGUCAACACCCAGAACACCGGGAUGGCGCGGGGCAGGGGGCUUUCACAUAGCGGGUCCAAAGACAAAAACCUAAGGGCUCGCACGCUAAACGGAAGACAGAAA